AGCGAACGCUGGCGGCAGGCUUAACACAUGCAAGUCGAGCGGGCGUAGCAAUACGUCAGCGGCAGACGGGUGAGUAACGCGUGGGAACGUACCUUUUGGUUCGGAACAACACAGGGAAACUUGUGCUAAUACCGGAUAAGCCCUUACGGGGAAAGAUUUAUCGCCGAAAGAUCGGCCCGCGUCUGAUUAGCUAGUUGGUGUGGUAACGGCGCACCAAGGCGACGAUCAGUAGCUGGCUGAGAGGAUGAUCAGCCACAUUGGGACUGAGACACGGCCCAAACUCCUACGGGAGGCAGCAGUGGGGAAUAUUGGACAAUGGGCGCAAGCCUGAUCCAGCCAUGCCGCGUGAGUGAUGAAGGCCCUAGGGUUGUAAAGCUCUUUUGUGCGGGGAAGAUAAUGACGGUACCGCAAGAAUAAGCCCCGGCUAACUUCGUGCCAGCCGCCGCCGUAAG
rnacentral:rRNA from 1 species